rnacentral:lncRNA from 1 species
CAUCAUAGAGUUGAGAGGUGCCCUCGAAGGAUAACCUUUCCUCUAUAGAGAAUUAGGGCUAGACAUUCCAAUAUAGUAGAUUAGUUCUAGUCGGAAGUUAGGGAGAGCGGGAACCGGAGAAGUCUUCAGAGUUUUGGUAUGUCUUUAUAUUUAUUGUAAGACUUAUGCUUUAAUAUAUUUAUCUUCUCUAUUUACUUUUAUGCCUUUAUUAUUAUCGAGUAGUGUAGCUGUUAUAUUUUGGCAUAGGAUCUCCGUUCGCAUCGAGUGCUCUAGUUAUUCAUGGUAAUUAGUGUAGUAAUCGUUAGUGUAGACGUGGUGUCUAUACUAGAGGUUACCUGAGGUUGCACCCAGUCCUGCGGAUUGUUGUGGUAGCCCUAGGGUACUGACAGCCCUAACGGUUGACGUAUUCCACCUCGUUCGGAUCGGUGUUUGUAGGACCGUAGUCAGAGCUUCCCAGCCCCCUUCCAGUUCUCUUUCUGUGGUUGGUGUUCUGAUGUCCCAAAGUGCUAAUAUGUGAUUGCUAUAUCUAUUCAUUCUUUGUUAUCAUAGAACUGAAGUAAUAGAGAAGUAUAUAGGAACCUAUGUCUCUCCCGUUGUCCUCCCGCUAUGGCUAUCUACGCAUUUAUCAUAGAAUUCUCACCUUUAUAUUAUUACCUAUCAUAUAUCAUUUACUCCUACUUUUGUCUAGUUGGUUUAUUAAAUUAGUAGAUGCAUGAUAGUAAGUUAUCAGAUUCUUUGACCUUAGCUUCUCAGUGGUAAAAUAUAAAUAACGAUACCUGGAAUACUGCCGGUAAAAUGCUACGAUGAUGUUCUGUGCGCUUGCGGAAUUUUUAUUAUUCUUAUUGCACUUAACGAAUGUCAACAGUUGUCAUCAGCCCUGAACUUUGCCUCAUCCGCAGGAGGUAAAUUAUCAGGCUUGCCCUCAGCGGCUGGAUAACAUGACAUAGCAGUUAGCUACAAUUCCAUCUUAGCUUUCCAGAGCAAGAAGAUUUUACCAUCAAAAGAAUCAGACUUUAACACAGCAGCAAAACCUGUGACAGAAAAUAGCCUAUAAUUAGGUGUUUGGACUUGUUUUACUAGUUAGUUGUUAAUUUGUUAUGCUGUAGCCAUGUCACGAGAUCAUCAAAUAUUGACCUGAUUAUGUGUCAUUGAACCUGAUCAAAUCAAAAGAAUCAGGCUUUAACACAACAGCAAAACAUCUGAGAGAAAAUAACCUAUAAUUAGGUGUUUGGACUUGUUUUACUAGUUAGUUGUUAUGCUCUGGCCAUGUCACGAGAUCAUCAAAUAUUUUGAACCUGAUCAACUUGAGUUGACUUCGACUAAACAUAGGCGCAACCAAUGUGGUUGGGCUUCAGCCAGCCCCCAACAACCAUCGGAUAAACCACUAUAUUAUCAUGCAUGUGCACUACAAAGUACUUGUCCGGUGCAUUGUUUUUGCAUGAUUCUCUUUUUUUUCUUCGUAUAUCCAAGCUUCAUUCCAUUAAGUUAAAUUAGUCAUGUACUCUCUUCAUCCCAAAUUAUAUGGCGUUAGACUUUUUUAAUUUCAACUUUGACCAGAUAUCUUAUUUAAAAAAUUUAUGCAAAGACAGUCAAAUUUAAAUUAUUCUUAAAAAACUUUUAUUAAUAAAUUAAGCCACAACAAAAUAAAUAAUAUUUUGCAUAAAUUUUUGAAUAAAACGGAUUGAAUAUGUCUUUUAUGUCCUCGGGCGUUCCUUUGAGGUGCACUGACCGGAGUCCAUUUGUUUACAGCGCUGUAAUGCUAAACUCUUGGAUAGUAGUUGUCCCAUUCUACGUACUUGUAUAAGGCCAUUGAUUUUACAUUUGGGAUCGGACAUGGGGAUUAUGUAGUAGCUAUUGUAUGCAUGACACACAUUAUGGAUCUGUUUGGUACAGCUCACAAUAGCUUUAUGAGUUAUUGUGAGCUUUUUUUGCUAAACACUUAUUUCUAAAAUAGCUUUACGGGUGAAGCUGUUUUUCUUGUUCUCUCACAAAUACAUGAGUUGGGAUAAAGCUAAAAAAAGUAGCUUAUUGCAACGCUCUCUCAACUACGCAUAACGUAGUUGGUGAAGCCAUUUUACCAAACAUUUUUUUCUAAAACAGCUCAGCUUCAUCUAGAAAGUUGCUCAUGAAAAUAUUUUCUAAAAAAACAACUUUACUAGUGAAGCUGAGCUGUGCCAAACAAACCCUAUAUUUUUUCCCACUCUCUAGUCCUUACUCCUUCAGUAUAUAUAUAUUUUUUUUUAGGGGAACUGGAGGGGCCAAGGCCCCUACAGAAAAUAAUUUUAUUGAAAAAAAGCAGUCACCAUAGAGUAGUACAAACAGUAGAGAGAGGAGCGGAGGUCUAAGAGAGUAACUAAGGUACAGCAAAAGAAAGGAAAAAAAACAAAAAGAGGAACAUCAACAGGAGAGAGGGGGGUCGGGGGAGGAAGCUGAUUAAACAAGUAGUUGGAUCCAUUGAUGAAACUGAGAACUGUUGGAAGCCUUUACUCUGUGCUCAAGCAUUAAGAGCUCUUUUUUAAAAAUUUCUUUCGUCCCCUCGAUGGUUGGCUGAAUGCCUCUGAAAAUCAAGUUAUUCCCAGUUGACCAGAUCGCCCAGCAUAAGAGGAUUGUUGUGACCAUGAAGAAUUGGUUGUUAAAACCGUGCUUGAAGUGAUCUGCAAUCUCUGGGAAGUCUGAAUUAGGUGGGAUGGCCAUAUUCAGCAAUUGCCAGCACUGUCUAGCAUAGGCACAGUGAAGGAAUAAAUGGCUAGUUGUUUCUUCAGAAUUCUGUAAGCAUAGUACACAGUUGUAGGAUUGCAAAUGCAUAUUUUUCCGUUUUAGGAUGUUACGUGUACUGAGCCUAUCCUUGAUCAAUAGCCAGAAGAAGACCUUGUGUUUUGGCUGGCAGAAGCUUUUCCAUAGCCAUCUGUGGACUUCGUGGAUUUGCUGAUGCCCCAUCAAAUCAGAGUAGGCUUUUGUUGCACUGAAGUUAUUUCCCCACUUGUAAUUCCAUUGAUCCUGUUCUUGGGUCUGUUCCAGAUUAUCAAUCCUGCUAGUGAGUUGCUGUAACUGUUGGAAAGCUGUUUCAGAGAUGGGUAGUUGUAGAAAUCGUGUGAGGUCCUCCUGGCCCAAGACUUCUGCUGCUGAAAUAGUUUUAUGUUGGACAAAGGAGAAAAGCUCUGGCAUCUCUAGCAUUAGCUUCUGCGUCCCCCACUUGUCCUGCCAGAACACGACUGACUCCCCACCUUUCAUUUUGAUUAGAGCCAUUUCUUUGUAAGGGUUUAGUAGCUUGAGAAUGUCCCGCCACCAGAAAGAUCCUUUUCUGAUUUGCCCUGGAAGUUUGCCAUUUGCGUAGUGCUUUUCCCAUAUCAUCUGUACCCAAGGAGUGUCUUUUUUAUUGAAGAACUUGUCCAAGUUUUUCAUUAGAAGAGCCUCAUUUUGCUUUUCAAUGUCAAUCACACCUAGCCCCCCUUCAUUUUUUGGUUUGCAAACCAAUUUCCAGGCUGCUUUAGGUGGUUUCCUGGCGUUGAUGUCAUUUCCUCUCCACAGACAGUGCUUUCUGAACUUAUCUAUCUUGUGAAUUACCGACUUUGGGAUAGCUAGGGUGCACAUGUAGAAGGUGGGCAGGGCUGUAAAGACUGCAUUUGUUAGUUCUAACCUGCCAGCUUCUGAGAGGAAAGUAGCCACUGAUCCCAAUCUUGCUUCACACUUGUUGAUAAGUGGUUGAAAAUCCUGAAUGGUUGGUUUGGUGACUCCAAGAGGCAAACCUAGAUAGGUAAAGGGAAAGGAACCCUUGGAGCACCCAAAGGUUCUUGCUAGAGUAUCUAGCCUUUCUUCAUCCAUGUUGAUUGGCAGCAUCAUAGAUUUUUGUAAAUUGACUUUUAAUCCCGUUGCUUCAGAAAAGGUGUUGAUGAUUGACUUUAGGAUUAGCAACUGUCUUGUGUCUCCCUCUGCUAUUAUUAGAGUGUCAUCGGCAUAUUGAAUGAUAGGGAAGUCUUGGUUUGUCUGCAUGGGAAUGGGGAGUUUCAACAGGUUCAUGCAUUUGGCUUUAUUAACCAGAGAUUGCAGGAAGUCUGCUGCAAGGACAAAGAGCAAGGGAGAUAGUGGAUCACCCUGUCUGACCCCUCUGAGACAGUGAAUUGUUUUGCCCGGUGUUCCAUUUAACAGGACAUUAGAUGUUCCAGAUGCGAAGAUUGACUGCAUCCAAUUCAGCCAUCUCUGCCCGAAACCUUUUUCUUUCAUGAUUGUCAACAUUGCUGUAUGACUCAUCUUGUCAAACGCUUUCUCGAAAUCCAGUUUAAUGAUAACUAUUGGCUUUCUUGAGUGAUGGCACAAGUGAAGGUAUUCAAAUGACCAGGCCAGGCAGUCCUGAAUUGUUCUCUGCCUUAUGAACCCAUAUUGGUUUUUGUGUACUAGAUCAGUGAUUUUCAUUUGCAAUCUGUUGGCCAGCAGCUUGGUGAUCAGCUUCAUUGAUGUGUUGAGCAGGGAGAUUGGUCUGUAGUCAUUGACUGAAACAGGGUUAUGGGUUUUGGGGAUUAGGGUGAUGUAAGAAGUGUUGAUGCUCCUCAGACAGAUGUUGUGGUUGUGGAAUGCAUUACAAAGGUUAAAAAUGUCCACCUUUAUAGUUUGCCAAGAGGCCUUCAUGAAUUCAUUACUAAAACCAUCUGGACCAGGUGAUUUGUCAUUUGGUAGGAGCUUGACUACUGACUCAAUUUCUGUCUCAGUAAAAGGCUCUUCCAAAGGCUCAAGGUCAUUGCUUGCCUGAAGUACUGAGGCUGGAUUGAGGCCAAACCUUGUUUCUUCUUUUGUCCCUAAUCUUUCCUUGAAUUCCUCCCAGAUAUGCUGUUCUUUGUCCUUGUGUGCAGUUAAGAUAGAGCCAUCUUGCUUCUGUAGCUGAUUCACCAGAUUACCUCUCAUUUUUAUUGUUGCAUUUGCAUGAAAGAAUUUGGUUGUUGCGUCUCCCAGCUUUAUCCACUUUAUUGCCCCUCUCUGUCUCCAGUAGAUCUUCUGUUGUUCUAAGAGUUCGGUCAGUUUCUUUUUUAGGAUAGAUCUAAAGUUCCAUUCGAGUAGACUAAGAUCUCUGUAUUCUUCUAGAAGUUCUAGAAACUGGAUGACCAGUUUUACAUUUGAGAUGACUGUUUUCAGGUUGGCCAUUGAAGCUUGUUUUUCUUUUAGAGCUUUCCUCAAUUUUUUGAACUUCGCCGUAAUGCUUUUUGCCUGAUCAAGAUGAGGCAUUGGCGCGCCCCAAGCAUCAGAAAUCAAUUGCUGGAAGCCUGGUAAUCUCAGCCAACAGUUUUCAAAUCUGAAGACUUUGGUCUUUGGAAUCUUGGUUGAAACCCUUACCAGACAGGGAGCAUGAUCAGAAGGUGUCAUAUCGUAGCCUUUGACCGAGGUAUCUGGGAAUUUGAUGUUCCAAGAGUUAGAGGUAAAGGUCCAGUCAAUCUUUUGAAGUAGAGGGUUUGAUUGCAUGUUCGACCAGGUGUAUUUUCUGCCUUGUAAAGUAAUUUCAUUGAGACCAAGGGAGCUGAUGGCGCUGUUAAACAAAAACAUCUCAGAACUAUCACCCCCUUCCUUAUUCCUAUCUUCAUGUUUUCUCAUGAGAUUAAAAUCACCAACCACUAACCAGUCCACUUCAUGGGGAAUUUGAAUAUUUUUGAACCAGUUCACAAACUGUCUCUUUCCUUCAUCAGUACAUGGAGCAUAAACAUUUGUUAAAAGCCAUGAAUCAUUGUUGUGCAUUGAGCUCAUUUGAACUGAGAUCGCAUGUUCGUUGGAAAAAAUGAGUUCUCCACUGAAAAGUUUGCUUUUCCAAGCUGUGAGUAUCCCACCCGAGGCUCCUACUGAUGGCAAGUAUUCAAAUCUAUCAAAAUCUGGAGGGCAGAUAUUCCUUAGGAAGGCUGUAUCAAAACUGUCCUUUUUUGUUUCUUGGAGGCAGAUGAUGUCAACGGCGAGGUCUACUAUCUUAUUUCUAAUCGGGUUCCACUUUUCCUUUGAGUUUAAGCCCCUCACAUUCCAGUGCAGAAUGUUCCAACUUCUAUUAAUCGUUGUAUUCAUUGCUUAAACUGGUAGACAUUCUAAGAGCAGCAGUCCCGAUAAGCAGAUCACCUUUACACGAUAAAAAGCACAGAUUUCCGUGAUUUAACCAAAAAUUUGUUGCUGCACUGCAUGAUUCUUCACCUGAAACCCGACAAUACUUCACUAGGCUGACAGCAGACUUAAGUUCUGAACAGUGGCUCAUAGGCACAAAUGGAAGCAACAAGUAGCCCAUACUUAAUACAACACAUAGUACUGUCUGAACUAAGAAUUUUAGGCAAAAAACAGAGUCUAACCACAUCUCUGAAAGCAAAAUAGCCCUACAAAAGCCACCAUGAAGUGGUGCUUGAGGACGACCCCUCCAGACUUGCCCUCUCCGAGUGUCUUCAUUCUUUUGCUUCAUUGGUUUGUUGGGUUGAUUGGACCUCCUUUCCUGCAUUAUCAGUAGCCUCCUCCUCUACCUCUUUCGUAGACUCUCUCGCCUCUACUUCUUCAUUAAGCCCAGUGUUUGUAGGGGGAGUGAUGCGUGCCCUAGCCACUGGGUAGGUCUUCUUUCUUUUCCCCUGCAAUGAAUCAUCACAUACCUCAGAAUCAUCAAGGUUGCAGAAUUGAAUUGCAAUUUUCCUGAUAUUCUCUUUUUUCAGGGUUGGUGGUUUGACUCUGCAGGCAAAGCAAUUUUUUUCUUUGCAACCCUCAGGCCUAAAGCCUUUGUUGGAUUUCUUGAUUCUAGGACUCCUUCUUACCUCUGUCUCCACAAUUGCUGCAGUCCUUUUGUUGUAUAUUUUCUUUGGGGGGGCUUCCUUUGCGUAAUCCUGACUUGCCUCAUGUCCUUUCCCCAGGUAAUCUGUGGGACAGGAUAAGUUAAAUUCUGGGCGUGAAGUAGGGACAGAGAAAUCAACUAUUCCAGAAUCAGGGCUUUCUAGGUGACCAAUCAGUCCUGAAGCUAAGAUGUUCUUAAUCCAAUCAAAAUUAUUGGGGUCCAACAGUUGGACAGUGAAGAAAUUAACCCAGGUCGCAGGAAUAGACACUUGUAGGUUUGCAGGGUUACCUGAGGAAAAGAACUUAGUGCUUAGCCUGACUGCUUCUGCGUUGGUUGCCUGAGACCAUGCCAUCUGAUUGUCCUCCACUCUGGUUAAGGUCAACCCAAUCUGGAUUGAUGGUUCCUGGUGGAAAUUAUCAGCUACCAUUGCUUCCAAGAUUUGAUUCUCAUCAGGUAUAUGAGUCUGAUUGGUCUGAUUAAAGUUAUUCAGGAAGUUUAUCUCAGUAUUUGUAAUCUGCAAAUGAUUGCUGAUACCCUGCGGUUCCUGAGUCCCUUCCGGCCCUGUCAUUCUUUGCUGGUUUUCAAUUUCCAGUUGGCCCACAGCUUGCUCCAGAGCUACAGAUGUUCCCUGGGCUUCUGACUGAUUCAGGUGGUCGGCCCAGCUAUCCUGCUGAAUAUUUUUUGCUGGAGGCCCAUUAGUUUGAGCCUGGUUCUGCCUAUUGACCCCUCUACUGCUGUUCUGAGACUGGUUCUGCUCAGAGUUCCCCCUGCUGCUAUUCUGAUGUGGUUCCAAGUUAUUUUCUUCUUCAUCCUGGCUUUGGUUCUCUAGCAGGUCUUCUGAGUUCAUCAACUGCUCAGGGGAGAAUUCUUCCACCAGAAAGUUAAGGGGUGAGCCCUGUUGAUUUUGCUAUGGAAUUUCAGCAGGGUCUUGCACUGCCUCUGCAGGUGCUUCCACUACUUCUUGGGCCAAUGCCCCAUUUAUUGCCCCUAGUUCAUAUAUCUCGACCUCAGCCACUGGAUUGUUCUGAAAAACUUCACCCUGUUCCUGUAGGAGGUACUGAAUUUGCUCUCCCUGUCCAAAAGGAUCAUUCUCCACAGGGUUUAUGAUAACUGGGUCAAGGUCCUGAUCCAUUGGCGGUUGGUUAAGGUCAAGACCCUCAGCCAUGCCAGCGUUGCCACCAAUCCCAUGCUGCUCCAUGAUUUCAAUAUUCUGCUGAUCCAACUGAACAUCCUCCAGUAUUUCUUCUGCUUCCUCCAAGUCUUGGUUGACAUCUUGAUCUUCUUCGGGCCAUGCAUCCCACCCUACCUGUCCUUGCCCCUGAAGCUGAUUGGCAAGGUUAGCGGCAGGUUGCCCAAGCCCAAAGAAAUCAAAGGGUAGAGCCUGCUCAAUAAUAUUGUUAUCAGGUACAGGGUCUUGGGGUGGGGGUUCUUCAUAGGGCUGUUUCUGUCUAAGGACUUCACACUGGAUAGUGAAGCUUUCUCCCCCAAUUGUGUCAGGGUCUUCUAACACCACAUAUUGCGGUACUUGUUCCACAUCUUUGACCCUGGCUCUUAUCAGCAGAGUAGAUUCUGAACCUUCUUCUAGCUGAACCAGGAGGACUUUUGCAAAGUCUCCUACAGCUUGAUAGAUGUGUCUUUCUGACAGGUAAUCUCUGGGGAAAUCUAGUAAAAGUAGCCAGCACUCAUGAUUGAAGUCUGCCGCACGCCAGUUCCUCCCUCGGUCAUGCUUGGUAAAGGUAACUAAGACAUUGUCAAAGACAUGAGGGCUAUCCUGAACAAGCGCAUCUCUAGCAUGAGCAUACUUCAGUCUAACCAUGGCUUGACCCAGACUUGUUGGUUGGAUAUCUAGGUACGGCAUUCGCACUUCCUCUCUUAAAAAAUCCCUUAAGACCCCUCUAACAGCAGCAAAGUGCAUAGGAUUACCAGGGAUGGGGUCGAUGGUGACGAUCGCCAGGUUCUCAUUCCUGGCUAGAGGACGCACAGGGGCCACAGCUCUGGUCAUGAAUCUUCGGUUCGGCACAACCUGGACCUCCAAGUGGUCUGGCAGGAACGGCGCCGGAUCAGCACGUUGGAAGGCCAUCGGGACUUCCUCUUGAGCCGGGUUGUUGAGGUCUGGGAUUAAGCAAAGGUGAAGGGUAGGGUGGCGAUGGAGGAGGGGAGGAGGGUUUUCUCGAGAAAUAUUGGCAAGAGCUCUGGUGCCCUGGGUGGGGGUGGAAGGCGAAGCGGUCGAGGGGAAAAGCAGCCAGGAUUUUGGGUCUGGCGCACUGUUCAACCUAUUUCUUCCAUCUUCCCCAGUGUUGGGUAUUUUAAACGCAAACAGAAAAAUCUGCAAGCGCACGGAUACCGAUGUAGCUUUCACCCGGGAGUAUUCCAGAGUAUCGAUUUUCCACAGGGAACGUGAGUGUACUAAUUAAGAUCCAAGAUCGCCCAAGGAUAACUAUAUAAUUAUUUUUGGUGGGAAGAGAGGAAGUUUCCUGAGAGUUCUCUAGUUGAUCUAAGAAUCAAGAAUUACUUCAAGAUUAUCUAUUUCGGGACAUCAGAGCACUAACCACAGAAAGAGAUGAGAAGGGGGCUAGGAAGGUCUGACUACGGUCCUACAAACACCGAUCCGAACGAGGUGGAAUACGUCGACCGUUAGGGCUGUCACUACCCUAGGGCUACCACAACAAUCCGCAGGAUUGGGUGCAAUUCCAGGUAAUUGCAAGACUAAACACCACGUCUAAUCUAUUAAUUACUACUCUAAUGUUGCAAAGAUUAGAGCACUUGAUGCAAGCGGGAAUCCAAUAAAUAACUUGAAUGUAAAUAAAAGUAAUUAAAGAACUCAGGAUUAUGAAUUGAAGAACCUGGAGAACGAUGAAGAACGAACCAGUUGCUGCAAAAGUACAAUGUUGAGGAAGAUCCGACAGAUCCGGCUCCUCCUCCGCUCUCCUCUUCUCUCUCCCUAUUUUCUAAAUUACAACUAGAACUAACUAGAACUAGAACUAGAGGAACUAGAACUAGAAGAACUAGAGGGAUCCUCUCUACUUGGAUGAAGAAUUGAAACCCUAGCUUUGAUUCUGUAGAAGAGGUAUGCCUCCAGGGGCUGGUGGGGGUCUGCUUAUAUAGUCCAGGAAGAGUAGCCCCCAAGAAAUCUAGGAAGAGUAGCCCCCAAGAAAUCUAGGAAGAGUAGCUCCCAAGGAAUUUCCACGUUAUUCUCCACCAUCUGAUCAAACCGACCUUCAUCGUGUGAUUUUCCUCGAUCCUUAGAGUCGGUGGGGCAUAAUCCCCGAGACUCGUGCUGAUUGGCCAGCAGAGGAGGGCGGGCGCCCAGGGGGGUAGGGCGGGCGCCCUGCCUCCGGGCCCGCUCGGCCUCCCGUUCGUUCCCGUGGCUUCUGGAGUCUUCUAGAUGAUAGAAAAUUGCGCGGCUCGUUAAUAUCUCUAUGUAAUCCCGACGUGUGGGCCUUUCUUCCGUAUUUCCUGAUAACCCCCUGCAGAAAUAGACAAACACCAAAACUCGUGGAAUUCUGUCAGAUAAAACCCUAAGUCUGGGUGUUGGUUGUAUUUGGAUCCUUUUCCAUGAUUAAUUGAUGGUUAAAUAUGAGCAUUAAGGACCGUCAACAAGCUCCCCCAAGCUUAACCUUUGCUCGUCCCUGAGCAAAGCUAAAAUCAACAAGAAAACAGGGGUUACUUCUAUGCCUCUUACUAUAGUGUUUUUAAGUUAUCACUAAGGUCUCAAGUUCUUCUGUCUUACCUUUGUUCUGGAGUUUUUUAUAAGUCUGCAAAAUAAAACUGAGGCAUUUGCCUUCUUCUCGAAAGAUAUAUAAGUAGAGCUUUAAAAGUUUUAGCAUACUUACUUUGCAUUUUGCUAUGUCAACGCUCGGAGUAAGGGAGAGGAAUGUCAUACUCCUAGAUCAAGACCUUUGACCUUUUUGAGAAGUUUGUCAUCUCUUACUGGCAUAUUGCUUAUUAGAGGGACCAUGGGCUAUCAUUUUUUUUUCUUUUUUUUUUCUUUUUUUUUCAGUCUCUCUUUUUUUUCAAGUGGGCAGCAAGUACCCCUAAUUCUACUGUCGGACACAUGUCCAUUUUUUCCACUCAGGUGGGUAUCUUUGUACCCCUAAUUCUACUUCGGACACUUGUCCAUUUUUACCUCUUGUCUCACUCUCUAUUUUUUUCGAAUCAAAUUUUUUUGCAUAGUCCCAUGCCUCUAACGCAAUAAUACUUCGGAAGAGUGAAUCUUUUAUAUUUUUAAAACAAAAAUAUCUUGAUCUUGGGAGCAUGAUAAUUCUCUCAACCAAAACUACAAGAAUUAACAAUGGCUUGAACAAAGCAAGUGCCCACAGUUUUAAUAGUUAUAUCUUAUAAGACUCUAGGUAUUAUGUCAAAUAGGAUCUCAUCAUUUUUUUAGAUUUUCAAAAGAUAAAAUCUCCAGAACUCUAGCAAAACUUGGAACAAGUUAAUAGUAGCUCAGACCUUCUCAUAUCAUGUUUGUCAAUUACCUAGACUUGAAUCAAACUUUAUUUUUAUUUUAUUUAAAACUUAGGAUUACACAAAACUAUUGUAUAUUACUCAAAAGAAAAACUUUAUUUGGUUUCAUGGUUAUGCAUUUUUUAUUUAUUUAUGAAUACUAGUAAAUAAAACCAAGAAAGAAAAGUAAUACUUAUCUAGAUACACGUGGGGGUGCCUCCCCCAAGCUGGAUGUUGACAUAGUCGUUCACUCUUGUAGCCUGCAUGUUUGGUCUCACUCUUCUUAAGCCUCAAAAUCCUGCACAACCCAAAUAGACAACAAAACUCGUGGAACAUGUUAAGGGUUAGGUAAUUGUCUAGAGCUUAUGAGAGCUUAAUAUGAGAAUUCUAUGAACUCAAUCACAUCAAGUUCCUCUGCCAGGUUGUUUUGUGGCUCAAGAUAGAUUUUCAAGCGUUGACCAUUUACCUUAAAAGUGUUACCUAUGUCGUCUUGGAUGGUAAUGGCUCCAUGAGUUGAAGUGUCAAUAACCUUGUAUGGUCCAUCCCACUUACUUCGUAGCUUACCAUGCCCAAAGAGCUUAACUCUUGAAUUGAAUAGUAGAACCUUAUCUCCAGGCUUAAACUCCUUGUGCUUGAUUCUCUUAUCAUGCCAUCGUUUUGUUCUCUCUUUAUAGAUCCUUGAAUUGUGGUAGGCUUUCUCUCUCCAUUCUUCUAGCUCAGAUAGUUGCAUCAGACGAUUUUCGCUAGCGAGGUGGAGAUCCAUGUUCCAUUUCUUGAGUGCCCAAUGAGCCUUAAACUCUACUUCCACAGGCAAAUGACAAGUUUUUCCAUAUACAAGUUGAUAAGGUGACAUGCCUAUGGGUGUUUUGAAUGCAGUUCUAUAUGCCCAAAGUGCAUCAGGAAGUUUGUCCUUCCACCCCUUACCCAUCUCAUCUACGGUCUUUUGUAAAAUAUUUUUGAUUUGUUUGUUAGAUGUUUCGGCUUGACCGCUAGUCUGAGGAUGGUAUGGUGUUGCGACGUUGUGUCGAACUCCAUGAUCGGCUAGGUACUUCCGGAAGAUUUUGUCGAUGAAGUGGGAACCUCCAUCGCUUAUGACUAUCCGGGGUAUACCAAAGCGAGGAAAGAUUACUUCAUGGAACAUUCUCUUGGCAUGUUUUGAAUCAGCUGAUCGACAAGGUAAGGCUUCUACCCAUUUGGACACGUAGUCCACAGCUACUAAGAUAUACUUGCAAUUCCCGGACAUAGGGAAUGGCCCCAUGAAAUCAAUGCCCCAAACAUCGAAAAGUUGUACUUGAAGAUUAUUUGUGAGAGGCAUUUCAUUUCGUGAGUUAAUAUUCCCAUGUUUUUGACAUCGGUGGCAUCUCCUGACAAAGUCCUUUGUAUCUUCAUACAUCGUUGGCCAGAAAAAGCCACUUUGCCAAAUUUUAGCAUGUGUCCGAAAUGCUCCAUAGUGUCCUCCAUAUGGCGAGGCAUGGCAUCUUUCCAUAAUUUGAGUAGCCUCAGCCAUAGGAACACACCUUCUCAAGAGUCCAUCAGCGCAGACUCGGAAAAGAUAUGGCUCAUCCCAAAGGUGGAAACGACUAUCGUGAAGCAACUUCCUUUUGUUUGCACCAGGUGGGACAUAGCCUUUUACUAUAAAGUUUACGAUGUCUGCGUACCAUGGAUCUGCAUGUGUUAUCUUAAGUAGGGUGUCAUCCCUUAGGUAGUCAUUUAUGGGAAGCUCAUCAUGUGUUUCCUUAUAUUGAAGCCUAGAUAAGUGGUCAGCUAUAGAAUUCUCAACUCCCUUCCCAUCUCGGAUUUCUAUGUCAAAGUCUUGGAGUAGAAAAAUCCAUCGAAUUAGACGAGGCUUAGCAUCUUUCUUAGUGAGGAGGUACUUGAGAGCAGCAUGGUCUGAAUAGAUGAUUAUCUUUGCCCCCACUAAGUAAGAUCUAAACUUGUCUAUAGCAAAGACAACAGCCAAAAGCUCUUUUUCAGUUGUAGUGUAAUUGAGCUGUGGUCCAGACAAGGUUUUGCUAGUGUAGGAUAUGGCAUAAUGCUUUUUAUCCUUAGUUUGUCCUAAAACGGCCCCAACCGCAAAAUCGCUAGCAUCACACAUGAUCUCAAAAGGAAGAUUCCAAUCAGGUGGUUGAAUGAUUGGGGCUGAGAUGAGUGCUUUCUUAAGAAUUUGAAAAGAUUCAUGACACUCAUCACUAAAGAUGAAAGGUGCAUCCUUAGCUAGGAGACUAGUUAGGGGUCUAGCAAUUUGAGAGAAGUUCUUGAUAAAGCGUCUAUAGAACCCUGCAUGUCCCAAAAAGCUACGGAUUCCUUUCACAUUCGUGGGAGGUGGAAGUUUUUCAAUAACUUCAAUCUUUGCUUUGUCCACCUCUAUACCACGUUCGGACACUUUAUGUCCUAGCACUAUUCCUUCCUGAACCAUAAAAUGGCAUUUCUCCCAGUUCAGGAUUAAGUGCUUUUCUUCACAUCGCUGCAAGACUCUAUCUAAAUUCUCUAAACAAUGAUCGAAGGUUUUUCCAUAGACGGUAAAAUCAUCCAUGAAAACCUCCAUGAUCUUCUCAAUCAUGUCCGAGAAAAUAGACAUCAUGCACCGUUGGAAAGAAGCUGGAGCAUUGCACAAUCCGAACGACAUUCGUCGGUAUGCAUAAGUUCCAUAUGGGCAUGUAAAGGUAGUCUUUUCUUGGUCAUCUGGGUGGAUUGGGAUUUGGUGAUAUCCAGAAUAACCAUCAAGGAAACAAAAGAAAGAGUGGUUUGCAAGCCGUUCCAACAUUUCAUCAAUGAAGGGUAACGGAAAGUGAUCUUUCUUUGUAGCUUUAUUGAGUUUUCGAUAGUCAAUACACAUACGCCACCCAGUGACAAUUCGUUGAGGGAUGAGUUCAUUCUUCUCAUUCCUAACGACCGUCAUUCCUCCUUUCUUUGGCACUACUUGGACAGGGCUAACCCACUCACUAUGUGGCACAGGAUAAAUAAUCCCAGCACGAUAGAGUUUGAGGACCUCUUUCUUAACAACCUCUCGCAUAGCAUUGUUAAGUCUCCGUUGUGGUUCCCUUGAAGGUGUAGAAUUGGGAUCAAUAGGGAUACGAUGAGUACAGAGAAUGGGACUAAUGCCCAUGAGAUCUUCGAGAGAGUAGCCAAAAGCUGAUCUAUGUCUUUCAAGAACAAUGACAAGUUGUUGUGUUUCAUAAUCGGAAAGCUUGUCACUGAUAAUUACUGGAGUUUUUGAGUUGUUGUGCAAGAAGACAUAUCUAAGGCCAGAAGGAAGAGGUUUUAACUCUAUCGAAGGAGGUGAAGGUUGUUCAUUUUUAUCUAGCUCAACGGGUUCUACCAACUCUUCUUCUUCUUGAACAAAGUGUUCAUGAUUAAAGAAUGGUUGGGUCAUCUCCUCUUGAGUUACCAUUAAGACCUCCUCAAUAGGAUCUGGGUCAAGUUUGGGUUCCACUAUCGUGUUAAUUGAUCUAGCAAGAGGAACAACAAUAGUGGAAUUCCCAACCUUGAAGUCUAAAUGACCUCGUUGUGGUUGUUCCUGUAGAAGUUUCAUGAUUGGUCUGCCAAUCAAGAGAGGAAUCUCCGGUAUGUCAUAAAUGUGAAAAUCUAGACAUAUUCCAGAGUCCUUGAUUCUAAUAGGAACUGCCCUUAAUACCCCAUGGCUUUCUAGGAUUAAUCCAGAUGGACUUUGUAAAAGUUUUUGAGAUGGGGUUAUGGACUCGUUGGGAUAAAGAGUGUCAGCUAACUCCUUGGAAAUAACAUUUAUCCCAACAUAUGGACUGUAGUGGACCUUCCUAGGGGACCUUCUAAUUUGGCACAGAAGAAUGGUUGAAGGAGUGAUGAUUCGAGCUACCUCAGGAGACAGCUCUGCUUCUGUUAGCCAUUCCUAACUUAGAAUAGCCGAAAGGCUUUUGAUGUGUUCUAUGUCAACAGAUUCUACUCUUAGAACAGAUUGAGUGGUCCUUACUAGAGGUCGUGUUUGGAUAGGAAAAUUCGAGGUGUUUCCAUAAUCUUCAAAAAGAUCUUCCUCGAAUUCAAAGGGAUGCUCUAAAGGUGGUGGUUCAUCAUCCUUUAGUUGGUUUUGCAUUCCCUUAUCAGGAGGUUUCUCUACAACCAAAUUAAUAGGUGGGUCAGGUGGAAUUUCUAACUCGGUUGCAAGUUCCUCAUCUUUUGGUUUAGGAUCAGGCUCGACUUCUUUUUCUUCUUCAGGAAACUCAUCAUAAAUGCCUGUGUAAGGGGUAUUUUCAAGAAUUCUUUCUAGGAUAGCUCUCCCCUCAUUUGUGAGUUUGUGUGUGAAUGAGCCUCCUGAAGCAAUGUCGAGGUGAAAAGCAGCCUCCUUGUUUAGACCACGAUAAAAGUGGUAGUACAGUAGAUGGUCAGGCAGGGAAAGGUUUGGACCGGAAUUGGUAAGGCUUGUGAACCUAGCCCAAGCUGCUUCUAAAGUUUCCUUCUCUCUUUGUUUGAAUGUAAGAAUUUCAAUUCUAAGGUCAGCAAUUCGAAAAAGUGGAAAGAAAGCGAGACAAAAGUUGUCCCGAAGUUCAUCCCAACUUCCAUUAAUGCCUCCUACAGAAUGAGCAUACCACUUUUUUGCUCUUCCCGAAAGGGAGAACGGAAAUAAUUUCCAUUUAAGGGUGUCUUGUGUCAUGCCGAAAAUAGAUCGGCAAGAGCACAACUGCUCGAAUUCUCUAAGGUGGGUGUAUGGAUCUUCAUCUACUUGCCCAGAGAAGGGUUGCUCCUGAAUCAUGGCUAUUAGAUCAGGGCCGAGGUCGUAGCCAUCUGUAAGAAUUGGAUGUGAUGAUGGUGGUGGCUCUAAUAACUCGUCCUUUGGAGCAAAGAAUUUAUAGAUAGGAGUGAAAUCCAUGUGGUGUGGUGAAAAUGGUAAGGUGAGUGUGGUAAAAAGGAAAGGAAAAAUGAUACACGGACGACUUGGUUCGUAACUAGCACAGCUACCAUUCCCCGGCAACGGCGCCAGAAAACUUGUUGGGUAUUUUAAACGCAAACAGAAAAAUCUGCAAGCGCACGGAUACCGAUGUAGCUUUCACCCGGGAGUAUUCCAGAGUAUCGAUUUUCCACAGGGAACGUGAGUGUACUAAUUAAGAUCCAAGAUCGCCCAAGGAUAACUAUAUAAUUAUUUUUGGUGGGAAGAGAGGAAGUUUCCUGAGAGUUCUCUAGUUGAUCUAAGAAUCAAGAAUUACUUCAAGAUUAUCUAUUUCGGGACAUCAGAGCACUAACCACAGAAAGAGAUGAGAAGGGGGCUAGGAAGGUCUGACUACGGUCCUACAAACACCGAUCCGAACGAGGUGGAAUACGUCGACCGUUAGGGCUGUCACUACCCUAGGGCUACCACAACAAUCCGCAGGAUUGGGUGCAAUUCCAGGUAAUUGCAAGACUAAACACCACGUCUAAUCUAUUAAUUACUACUCUAAUGUUGCAAAGAUUAGAGCACUUGAUGCAAGCGGGAAUCCAAUAAAUAACUUGAAUGUAAAUAAAAGUAAUUAAAGAACUCAGGAUUAUGAAUUGAAGAACCUGGAGAACGAUGAAGAACGAACCAGUUGCUGCAAAAGUACAAUGUUGAGGAAGAUCCGACAGAUCCGGCUCCUCCUCCGCUCUCCUCUUCUCUCUCCCUAUUUUCUAAAUUACAACUAGAACUAACUAGAACUAGAACUAGAGGAACUAGAACUAGAAGAACUAGAGGGAUCCUCUCUACUUGGAUGAAGAAUUGAAACCCUAGCUUUGAUUCUGUAGAAGAGGUAUGCCUCCAGGGGCUGGUGGGGGUCUGCUUAUAUAGUCCAGGAAGAGUAGCCCCCAAGAAAUCUAGGAAGAGUAGCCCCCAAGAAAUCUAGGAAGAGUAGCUCCCAAGGAAUUUCCACGUUAUUCUCCACCAUCUGAUCAAACCGACCUUCAUCGUGUGAUUUUCCUCGAUCCUUAGAGUCGGUGGGGCAUAAUCCCCGAGACUCGUGCUGAUUGGCCAGCAGAGGAGGGCGGGCGCCCUGCCUCCGGGCCCGCUCGGCCUCCCGUUCGUUUCCGUGGCUUCUGGAGUCUUCUAGAUGAUAGAAAAUUGCGCGGCUCGUUAAUAUCUCUAUGUAAUCCCGACGUGUGGGCCUUUCUUCCGUAUUUCCUGAUAACCCCCUGCAGAAAUAGACAAACACCAAAACUCGUGGAAUUCUGUCAGAUAAAACCCUAAGUCUGGGUGUUGGUUGCAUUUGGAUCCUUUUCCAUGAUUAAUUGAUGGUUAAAUAUGAGCAUUAAGGACCGUCAACACCCAGCCCAAGUAUCGUUAAUGGGCCUAGACUGGCUAUCCAAGGAAGAGCUAAUACUGCAGGUUGCCACAGGGCCGUUGAAUCCGGGAAUCCUGGGCAGAGGGAUUUGAAUGAGUGAUCCUUGCACCGGGUGGUUGAGCAGAUGAGUCGAGGGGCAACCAACGAAGUUGUUGGACCUCGGUCCUCUUGCCAUUGGGCUUCAGAAGAUUUUGUUGUCCCCUGUAUGAUUUAGAAGCAGCACAGGAGACAGCAAUAUGACCAGGAAGAAAGCACGCGUGACAACGGAUUGGCUGACGACAGUUGACCCGCCAGUGGUUAGAGGCAAGGCAACGAGAGCAGAGCCUUGUCUGCCUGCUGACGCUGGGUUUUGUCAGCUCCGUCAGUCUGGGGAAGCCGCGAUUACCAUGAUGAAAAAUCCGACCAGAUUGAAGGGGGACCGCAUUGGCGCCGGUGAGCUUCGGACCGCUUCCAAGAGGGACCGCAUUGGCUCCGGAAAGCUUUCUGCCGCUGAACGGAACGGCCUUGGCACUAGCAGGGAGGCGAAAGCUCGGUCCGGCAGCCAUGGCACCAGAGGCGGCACAAACCGGGAUGGUUUUGGCACCAGCGGGGAGGCGAGCCAAGGAAGAGAAGUUCAGACCGGUCUUCUCGGCACUAGAGGCCGCGCUGAAGGCACGAUUAUGUCCUAGCGGAGUCGCGUUGGCGCCGGACAACAAGAGGGCAUGACCGCUCGAGCUCGGCUGCCCAGAAAGGACCUGGGCAAAGGAGCGUCUGAACGAUUUGGGAUGCGACCAAGAGAGUUCUUCCUCCUUUAGGAAGUUUCGAAAUUCGUUUCUCCAAUUGGGACCACCAUUGCCCCAAAGAAAGAAGAAAACCUUGAACGCAUCGCAAGAAAAAAAUCUCAAUGAAGCAAUGAACAACCCUACUUGUUUUGAAGAAACGGCGAACUUAAAGGUACGUUCACCAAGCUGAGAAGCAAAGAAAUGAGUAGCAGAGCCCCCGAGAGCAGCCUGGAGAAGCGAACUAGCAGAGGAGGUGGACAACUUGAACUUGCACCGGCCGAAGGCCGCCACAAGGAGGAAGGAAUGACGAUCAAGAACAGAGUGGGUGACAGGAGCAGCAAAGCGCUGCCAGAUACGCUGCUGGGUGGCAAUUCCUGGGGCGAACGAGAGACCAGCAAGAUCCAUGAGGGAGGGGGCAAAGAGAUGGAGAUGGAGACUUACCUAUGGAGUGCAGCAGGACGCAUCAUCCUGGCCCCGAGCGAGAACAGCGUCGUCGUUGCGUCUACAUCCGUAGGCUCCGCACCGAGCACGACGCCGCCGCCGAGCGCCCCGCGCGGCUGCUGGACGACGACUACCCGUCGGCGGCCGCCGCAGCCGCCGUCGUAGUCGACGACGACGCCAACGUUAACGCCGGCGCCGUACCACUCCGGGCCAGACCUCGCGCGCGCACAGCUCCGGCAAAUGUUACCUCGUGGCCACGGCUGUUAGAGAGCUGUGGCGGGGGCAGUGUGUGGCCGCGGAGGCUAGUUCGCGGCAGCGGAGAGGCACGCUCGCUUCCAGUAUAUAUUUCAGAACUAUAUUAAAGUGGCCAUUUUAGUGUUAUAUGCUCUCUAUUUUGGGAUCGAUUUAGAGUCCACCCCCACCUCCACCCACCCGUUUUAGAAAGUGUACUUGGCUCGUUGCAUUCUCCUUGUGACUGAAAGGAGAAGACUUCAUGUAAAAGAAAGCCGGCCGGGGGAAAGGAGAUGUAUAUAUAUGGACUUUGGUCAAACCAAAAGAUAUGGAUAGGAAUUUGGAUAGUGUUUGCCUUGCCAUGUCAGAACUAGGUGUUGCGCAUCAUGCAAGUGGAACAAACAGAAACCAAUAUACAGCUGCUUUUUGUCGACUGUUUUUGUUAAAAUGAAAUCUGCAUGCAUGCUUCUGCUUGUAGUGUACUAUUACCAACCACGCACGUAGGUAUGUGUCAUGUUGGUCGGCAUGGAUCAUGGAUGCAGACUGCAGUGCAGGCCAUAAGCUGCUUUCGAUAUCUUUUCUCUCAUCCGCUUUUGCCAAUUCGCCAGAUGGGCGAGCAGGCUGAUCAGCUCUCGGGAAAACAAAAAAAAGGCAGUGCCGAGUGGAUAAAGGCCACUCUUUAUUCAGUGCCUCAGUGCUCACCACGUACGCAAAAAUUGUAGAGGCAGCUGGUGGAGGUUUCUGUAGGCCACCCAGCAGAGUACCUGCGGCUAUGGUAGAAAUUUCCAGCUUAUGCGAUCAAGAGAAGGGGACGUUUCGUUGUUUGGUUUAGUUCAAACCUGGUUAGAAGUUAAUUACUAGAUGUAAGGUUUGCACAGUAAAUUUCACAAGGGUACUGUGUAUAAAUUCCUUAAGUAAGAUAUUGCGUCCUAGCGUUCAAAAUUUGUCAUCAAAUAUAAUAUAUUUUAAGGACAAAAACUACUUUUUAUAUAUCAACCAAUCACCACUAAUCACAUUGAUAAUAACGUCUAAUUAGGAAAUAAAAUAAGAGUACAUGCACCUUUUAUAUUCUCUGGCCCUGUUUGGCAGGGUUUCUCUAGCGGUUUCAGGAGUCGUUCGGAGCCGUUUUCUACCAAACGGCGUAAAAUGAAAUGGCUCUCACCGAUAAAGCCUCUAAAAACAUGCUUUCACAUAGCUUUGAGGUGUGAAGAAACCAAAAAUAGUGGCUUCUCCUGACUUCACCCCAUCUUACAUGGCGUUUUAGGAGAGCAUAUUUUAAGGAAUGAGCUAUUUUGGCAAACGAUUACCAAAACGGCUUCAGCUCCGCCGAUAGAGUUGUUCAUGGAGCUAAAACCUAAAAAAUAGCUUCACUAGUGAAGUGGAGCCGUGCUAAACAGAGCCUUAAUUUGUCUAAAAAUUAUGGCUUACAGUACUAAUGAUUUAAGGGCUAUUUAUUUGAAUCCCUCCCAAACUUCCAUAGAGCACCUCCAACAACUCCUUAUCCUAACUUGCUAUCCUUUAAAAUUUUCUAAAAGCAUGAAAACCUCUCCUCCAACAACUUCUUAUCUCAACUUGCUAAAUUUUCUGGUAUGGCUCGAUUGCGGAGAUUUACGCGCGCCUAGGUCGCUUGCUAUCGCGAAAUUUGUCCAUCGCCGGCCGCUGUCCCGCGCGAGCGCACCUCUUCCCGCGCGCGCGAGUGGCUCAGUGCCCAGAAAUUAUUGUCGUUGCAAGGCGUGGCCAAACAUCUUGUCGCUGCUGCUGCUGCUGAUUGGAGUAGAAGCCUACCGCAACAAUCUUCUGCUGCUGCUACUGACGGGACACAUAUGAUGGACAGCGCUCCAGUUCCAGGUAGUUGUUGUGGCCGGCCGGAGUUUCUGAGCGACGUCGAGGAUGGCCGGCCGGAGUACCGAACGGCGGCGGCCACGCACGCCAACACGGGAGUCGCAGCCACGCACGCGAAGUUGCGCAGGGUCGGAAGGAGGACCGUCGCGCAGGAAGGAGAAACGGCGGACUCGCGGCCCAGUAUCGGUUGCGGAGAAAGAUGGCUAGUUUUUCAGUUUUACCAAGUAAGAAUAGCAACUUGUUGGAGAUAUUUCCUUUUUUCUCUUGCCAAACUAAUUUGCAACUUGCUAUAACCUAAGAUUUGGCAAGUGAAUUUAACCAAGUUGUUGGAGAUGCUCGCUGAAGUGGUCAAUAAUCUACAUGUUUGGAUC